GUGUUCUUGCUCUGGCACCACAUACCCUAAAACAGGAAUGAUACAGAGAAGAUUGUCGCGGCUCCUGUGCAAGGAUGACAUGCAAAUUCAUGACGUGCUCCACAUUUCU
ensembl:snRNA U6 U6 spliceosomal RNA